UGCAAGUCGAGUGCGCAGUCUAGCUGUAGCAAUACAGCAGAUCGGCGCACGGCGCACGGGUGCGUAACACGUGGGUAACCUGCCCUCCAAAGGGGGAUAACCCGCCGAAAGGCGGGCUAAUACCGCAUGACAUUCCGGUGGCUUCGGCCGCCGGAAUCAAAGCCCGCAAGGGCGUUGGAGGAGGGGCCCGCGGCCGAUUAGCUUGUUGGCGAGGUAACGGCUCACCAAGGCUUUGAUCGGUAGCCGGUCUGAGAGGAUGGCCGGCCACACUGGAACUGAGACACGGUCCAGACUCCUACGGGAGGCAGCAGUGGGGAAUCUUGCGCAAUGGGCGAAAGCCUGACGCAGCGACGCCGCGUGGGGGAUGAAGCUUCUCGGAGUGUAAACCCCUUUCGACCGGGACGAAACACCCGCAAGGGUUUGACGGUACCGGUAUAAGAAGCCCCGGCUAACUACGUGCCAGCAGCCGCGGUAAGACGUAGGGGGCCAGCGUUGCUCGGAAUUACUGGGCGUAAAGGGUUCGUAGGCGGUGCGGUAAGUCGGAAGUGAAAUCUCUGGGCUUAACUCAGAGGCUGCUUUCGAAACUGCCGUGCUAGAGUGCGGGAGAGGCGAGUGGAAUUACAGGUGUAGCGGUGAAAUGCGUAGAUAUCUGUAGGAACACCCGUGGCGAAGGCGGCUCGCUGGACCGCAACUGACGCUGAGGAACGAAAGCUAGGGGAGCAAACAGGAUUAGAUACCCUGGUAGUCCUAGCCCUAAACCAUCAGGACUUGGGGUGGCCCGCGUUGGCGGGUCGUCCCGGAGCUAACGCGUUAAGUCCUGCGCCUGGGGAGUACGGUCGCAAGGCUGAAACUCAAAGGAAUUGACGGGGGGCCCGCACAAGCGGUGGAACAUGUGGUUCAA
rnacentral:rRNA from 1 species